rnacentral:rRNA from 1 species
AGUAACACGUGGAUAACCUGCCCUAAGGUCCGGCAUAACCCCGGGAAACUGGGGAUAAUUCCGGAUAAACCAUAGAUACUGGAAUGUUCUUUGGUUAAAAGCUCCGGUGCCUUAGGAUGGAUCUGCGGCCUAUCAGGUAGUAGUGGGUGUAAUGUACCUACUAGCCGACGACGGGUACGGGUUGUGAGAGCAAGAGCCCGGAGAUGGAUUCUGAGACAUGAAUCCAGGCCCUACGGGGCGCAGCAGGCGCGAAAACUUUACAAUGCGGGAAACCGCGAUAAGGGGACACCGAGUGCCAGCAUAUUAUGUUGGCUGUCCGCAUGUAUAAAUAACAUGUGUUAGCAAGGGCCGGGCAAGACCGGUGCCAGCCGCCGCGGUAACACCGGCGGCCCGAGUGGUAGCCGCUAUUAUUGGGUCUAAAGGGUCCGUAGCCGGUUUGAUCAGUCUUCCGGGAAAUCUGACAGCUUAACUGUUAGGCUUCCGGGGGAUACUGUCAGACUUGGAACCGGGAGAGGUAAGAGGUACUACAGGGGUAGGAGUGAAAUC